rnacentral:tRNA from 1 species
UGGUGCAGUGGUUAAGCACUUGACUGCUAAUCAAAAGGUUGGCAGUUUGAAUCUGCC